rnacentral:rRNA from 1 species
AUUGAACGCUGGCGGCAUGCUUUACACAUGCAAGUCGAACGGUAGCGCGGGCUUCGGCCUGGCGGCGAGUGGCGAACGGGUGAGUAAUGCAUCGGAACGUGCCCAGUAGUGGGGGAUAGCCCGGCGAAAGCCGGAUUAAUACCGCAUACGACCUGAGGGUGAAAGCGGGGGACCGAAAGGCCUCGCGCUAUUGGAGCGGCCGAUGUCGGAUUAGCUAGUUGGUGGGGUAAAGGCUUACCAAGGCGACGAUCCGUAGCUGGUCUGAGAGGACGACCAGCCACACUGGGACUGAGACACGGCCCAGACUCCUACGGGAGGCAGCAGUGGGGAAUUUUGGACAAUGGGGGCAACCCUGAUCCAGCCAUGCCGCGUGCGGGGAGAAGGCCUGCGGGUUGUAAACCGCUUUUGUUCGGGAAGAAAUCCUCUGGGCCAAUACCCCGGGGGGAUGACGGUACCGGAAGAAUAAGCACCGGCUAACUGCGUGCCAGCCGCCGCUGUAA